UUUUUAAUGAGGUUUAUGGCUGCUGACUCCAGCAAUUCUAGCACCUGCUCCUUCACAGAAUUUUCAUUUUCACCCUCUGUUUGUGAGUUCUCGUGUUUUGCAGUCUCCUUAUUUUCUUGGGCAGUCUUGGCUGGAGGUGGUCUCGUUUUGCUGUAAUGGCUUUUUUUUUUUGGUGUUUUGGAUGUUUGUCUUUUGCGGGGUGAGGCUUUUAGUGGAUUCUGUUUUAGUUUUGGUUUUUAGGGCUGUAUUUUCCUUCUCUUUUUUU
rnacentral:misc_RNA from 1 species